GCCAAUCUCCGUGCAGGUCUCGUCCCGACCUCGACGAGUUACACACAACUUUCGACGGCGAUUGAGAGUUAGAGCCUUGUCCCUUGGUUAACCGAAAUCGUUCGCGUUCUAACGGGAAAUCGUGGUCUGAAAAAGGGGCUAGCUAUUUGAAGAGAAAGAGAGAGGAAGGGUGGACGCUAAGGAGGAGGAGAAGGAGGAGAAUAGGAGGUCAGGUCGAAGCAAUUUGUGAAAAGAAAAGAUAAUCAUAAAAAAAAGAAAGAGAGAGAGAGAGAGAGAGAGAGAGAGAGAAAGAUGGUGAAUGAAAAUUGCCCUUUCGUUCUUAUUCUUUCGUCCAUUUUCUUCGUAUUUCAACGUAGUUCGAACGAUCAAAAUAUGCCGUCCAAAAGAUGAAAAAGAAAAAAAAAAGGUGGAGUUUUCACGAUCAGCAAGUAAAUCAAGCCACGCUCGAAUAUUAAGAGAUUGUACGAGAAGGACGGUGAAUACGAGCGUUAGCCAAGGAGAGAAACUCCUUCCUUCCUUCGGAAUUUGUUUAUCGAUGUGUAAAUAUAGAAGAAAAGGAAUACAAUAGUAUAUUACUACGUUAUAUCACUCACUGUUUAUUUUCAUAUAUUAAUAAUUAAAAAAUUAUACGAGACCAAUAAUGCGAACAAUCGGUUUGAAAAUAAUGACGAAGAUCGACGAGGAGAUGAAGUUUGAAAUUUUUCAAGACUUAAAUUACUGUGCUUCUGAAAACAUAUUCAAGAAGGAAACGGAUGUAAAGGUUAAUGCAAAUAGAUAACCCUGGUGAACAAGUGAAUCUGUAGUUCAGACAAACGAAGAGAUACAGACAGAGAAUAUGAGAGAAAGAGAGAGAGAGAGAGAAAGAGAGAGAGAGAGAGAAUAGCAUUAUGUUAUAAAUUAGCUAUUGUUGCUGGCUCAUAUCCGGAUGCGGCUAACUGACGAAGGAUAAUUUAGCUUGGCCGUUCAGCAGUAUCCGCAAGAGUCGCCGCAACCGCGCCAGGUAUGACGUUUCUAAUUAGUAAGUCUGCUACGUGGAAAUUACGUGCGAUUUGUCGGCGAUUUUGAAACAGCAUUCGCGGAAAUCUACCUUCCCUGUCGGCCGAGAAUUCUCUUCCUUGAGUUAAACUUUGGCUCGAUCAAGUCUUCCUGAGUUCAGAAGAUGAAUAGAUCGACGUGAUUAGACCACAGACGUGUUCACCGGACAUGAUAUCAACGAACCAACUAAUUCAACGAAUUCGAACGGAUCAUAUAUUAUAUUUAAAAAAAAAGUAACCAAAAAGAUAAGCCUUUCUAAAAUUAAAAAAAAAAAAAAAAAAAAAAAAGAAAAAGAAAAAAAGGAACAAAACAAAAUCAAAUUUAUCUACAUAUCUAAUGAUUUAAAAUCAUCGUACGAUCUAUUUUAAAACUAAUUUCAUAAUAAUCUCAUAUACAUAUUUCUUUCUUUCUUAAUUCAUAAAUUGCGGACAAUAAAUGCAUACCAUGUCAUGGAUGCAUGUCGGUUAUCGAUGAAAUAAAAAAAUAAAAAAAUAAAAAAAAAAAAAGAUAAAUAAAUAAAUAACAGCAGAACUAACGCAGAAACACGAGAUACAGAACUAGAGAAAUAUUAGAUUAUUCAAAGAAAUCGGGACGAAAAGCGGCGAGCGGGCAAAUUGGCGACCACGACUCUACCCACAGGCCAUCGAUUGUCGCGAAUUGAAAAACAAUUAGUGAAUUGCGGUUUCGAACGGCAUCACCACCGCGCUACCAUUCCCCUUCCCCCCUCUUUACCUCUUCGCUAUCUCCUCAUCCCUCUUUCCAUGAGUAGCGGCAGUACCACUACCACCACCACCAUCACCACCACCGCUGCCAUCACCACCACCUCUGCACGAUCCAUUCGUCCUUCGAUCCCGUGCUGAACAUCACCGUAUACAUUCUCGUAUUGGAUAUAUCGCCAUUAAUUUGCAUAGAGGUAAAGCCGAGCGCAAAAACCGGCCGAGCUUUACGUGCAAGUUUCCGUCGGGGAAAUAAUAAAUUUAUCACGCGGAAAUUAUCAGCCGG